ACAAUUUUUUGUGAGGUUAUUUUUGUGAGGUUUCUUAUGAGGUUGUCACAAUUUCGUAUUCUGCGAAAAACCUCAUAAUAAACCUCACAACAAAUUCACCACAAUAGGGUAUUCCAGCAAAGAGAACGUCCAAUUUCACAAAAGAAACAUUCAAUUGUUCCAGCUCCCAAUCAAAAGGAUACCUGCGAAGUGAGAACCGUAUGUAAGGAAAUAAACUAGCUGAAACAGUCAAGAACCACGUUUAUCUCGACUACACAUUUAUUAAUUCACAGCCCGAUGACAUCUUCACAGAAGGAGGACGUGAGCAGAAUGUAAAUACAAUUUUAAGUUACACUGACGGUGGAGCUGUGGCUGCAGAGCCUAAGAAUGAAGAAUAUCAAGACAACGCAUCUGUUUUCUUCUUAGACAAUUCGAGUGCCUCCGAUGAAAACUGUGAAGAUGACGACUUUGACAAACUUAACAACAAUGCAAGUUAUCUACAAAUGUCUAACGCAGAGAUGAUCGUCGAUUGCCACCACUUCUUUCUCAUGUCGCAGUCAACAAUGAUCAGCAGUAAAAGAGUUUUCUGAAUCCCUUUUUACUCAGUGAUUGGUGAGAGAUUUGCGUGGAAAAGUUAAACAAACGCCACAAACAUGUCGCUCAUUCUCAUGCUUAUACAACUGAAAAAAGUCAACCACCAUUUGAAACUGGCAUAGAAAGAGCUUAGACAAUUAUAUCACUGCGCACUCCAAGCAUCAUCAUCUUAGAAAAUAUGCUUAGGAUCCAAACAGUAGACCAUACAGAUAAUUCGAUUGCUGCUUACCCAUGCCCACGACCCACCGCCGAAGGUUAACAAAUAUUGUACCACCAUCACAUUUCCAGGCAAAUAAACUUCAAGAAAUGCUGUGACAUGCUCUCGCUAACUUCAAGAAAUGCUGCGACAUAUGCUUUCGCCAACCCUCAAAGUAUAAAGUCUAUACGCAUUUAGUUGCCGAUUGUCUGCAUCAAGAGAGUGAAGAAGUACUGGAGUAUACCUAUAUAUCAUCUGGGAUUGAGCACCAAUCUUCUUAUCGAUGUCGAAAUUAUUACCAUCGCUUAUGAGAUUACAAAUGAGAAUCUCCGCAUAUGGGAGAUUAAUGUCCUUAGAAACAAUUCUAAUGAAUCAGAUUUAAAAUCCUUAGUUCGCCAGAAAAGAGAACUAUUGU